GACGUAGGGCGCGAGCGUUGUCCGGAUUUAUUGGGCGUAAAGAGCUCGUAGGCGGCUUGUCGCGUCGUCCGUGAAAACCCGCAGCUCAACUGCAGGCUUGCGGUCGAUACGGGCAGGCUAGAGUUCGGUAGGGGAGACUGGAAUUCCUGGUGUAGCGGUGAAAUGCGCAGAUAUCAGGAAGAACACCCGUGGCGAAGGCGGCUCUCUGGAACGCAACUGACGCUGAGACGCGAAAGCGUGGGGAGCAAACAGG
rnacentral:rRNA from 1 species